GGAAUUAUUAUUUGAUGGCUUGCGAGUGACAGCACGAGCCGAAUUUAUUGCCCGUGGAAGUACCCACGAUAGGAAUACACUGUUGGGAACAUGGUGGCGGCGCUGACGGUACCUAUGUAAGUGGAAUUACUUUAUUGGAAGUACCCACGACGGGGAAAAUAGUCUCUCUAGUAUUGUCGGUGAAUGGUGAUGGUGGUGGUGGCGAUGGCUACUUUCCUCUGCUCAGAGAGAACCCCUGCAUGUCCUUCGUCGUGAUGCAAAAGAGCAGUGGAUGCAGAAAAUGUCUCUACCUGCCAGGAUGGUAUAAGAGCACGAACUGAAUCACCUGUUGGUGCAGAAGGCUUGGAGGACUGCUUUUGAAACAGUUGUUCAAAUUUCCUGCACCUCUUCGUAGCCGUUGUCUGAUUGCUGCAUUCUGGGGAGACUGAAGUUAAGAAGCCCUCACCGAAACCAACACUACGUCGCUGUGUUGUUUUCUUCCAAGGUCGGGCACAGUAAAGGAGAGGACUCUGUAUCAAGGCACUACCCAGAGGGAGGAUGUUGGCCUUCUCCUGAUGGGAAAAUGUCUUCUUUCUCAUGGCGUGGCCAGGACUGCACUGACCCUACCAUCCACUCUACCUCUCCGGAAAGGGACUUGACAACCAGUCAAGAUGGAUGUGCAGAGAUAUGCCAGCGCUUCUAGCAUUAACUGCCAAUUUGCACUGACGCAGCAAGACUCCCACCAGUCAAUAUUGUUUUACUUGAACAUCAUACUGUCGCCCAACUUUGUUUCACCAACAAAGGUUUAUUCUCCAAAGUAUUUCUAAUUGAUUGUGUAUGAGUUUCAUACUACUGUCAGGGGCGUCGGAAGGUAUUUUAGUGUAGUACGGUCAGCCAUCUGAAGUACAAUUGACUCGUGGGGGAGUGGUGGCUGAGCCGAAAAUUUUGGAAUUUUAGAUCCCAGAUCAGUGUAUUUUGUUGACUCACGGGUAUCUGGGGCAAAAAGUGGUACGGUCAAUACCGUAGUGACCGUACCGUGUGCGACGCCCCUGACUGUUGGAAUCCACCAGCUGUGUUUCCUUGAGGGGCGUAUCCUUACCUGGGAUGUGUUUUCUCAUUCCCGGCAGCAGAAAGAGCUCUACAAUAUGUAUAUAAUUUAAGAAUAGAAUUUGAUGUACAGGAGAGUGCCAAUUAUCCCCACCCCUCGGGACGCGGGCUGUCUCCAGAGGGUUCAGAUGAGAAGAAUGUUCGGAUAAGAGAGCAGUCACACAUCUAUCUAAAUCAUGCAUAUUCCAGCAUGUUUUCAUCAUUUUCGUUCUCUUCAGCAGUGAAACAGGAACUAGGUGCACUCAUGCUCCUCUAAAUUAAUGACACUAUUAUUACACAUUUUGACUCAAACCUGUUUUAAUACAUCUUGUGAAUCGCUUCAAUGGUGCCCCGAGCGACGAAAAUCAACAACUUGAAACUCAUCUUCUACCCCUCAAUUAAAUGCAAGCAAUUAUUUUGGAUAAUUAAUCAUUUGGAUAUUUGA